rnacentral:lncRNA from 1 species
GUAUGUAACCAAUCAAAUCCUGAAAUUACUGACGUCCGGCUGACUCUGACCUCAGUCAUUCUUAAAGAAGAACGAUUCGAAAGACCGGGGUUUGAGGUCAUCAAGAACACCGCUAAAAUUAUUCCAGAUCGAAGGGAAGUAUUGAUGUCUUUGUUUUAUCCGCUCUACUAAAAGUAAAAUGGCAUUUAGCGUUGUACAUUUGCUAAUGACCGAUGAAGUGGCUGUCGUCCAAGCAAAUGAGUGUCAGAUGAUAAAAAGGGACAUGUAACUGGCCUUCGUAUAAAGAAAGAAGUCACAUGAAAAGAGCAAUUCUGGAACACAGAGAACCAGAUACAUCCUGAGAGAAUUUUUAUAUUGUUAUCCUGGGAGAAUAUUGUGCUUUCAAAGAAAAUCGGGCCACCAGAGAGGUACCUU